ensembl:snoRNA
UGAUGACAAAUCUCCGGAAUCUCUGUACCCCUUUGAUGAAACAUUUGAACCCUAUAUCUGAGGACUGCCCUUUAGGUUCAGU